GCUGCGAUGGCCGAGUGGUUAAGGCGUUGAACUCGAAAUCAAAUGGGAUAUUCCCGCGAAGAUUCGAAUCCUGUUCGCAGCG
rfam:Ciona savignyi cont_10662, whole genome shotgun sequence.